GAUGAAGAACGUAGCGAAAUGCGAUAAGUAAUGUGAAUUGCAGAAUUCAGUGAAUCAUCGAAUCUUUGAACGCACAUUGCGCCCCCCAGUAUUCUGGCGGGCAUGCCUGUUCGAGCGUCAUUACAACCCUCAGGCCCCCGGGCCUGGCGUUGGGGAUCGGCGGAGCCCCCCGUGGGCACACGCCGUCCCCCAAAUGCAGUGGCGGUCCCGCCGCAGCUUCCAUCGCGUAGUAGCUAACACCUCGCGACUGGAGAGCGGCGCGGCCACGCCGUAAAACACCCAACUCUUCUGAAGUUGACCUCGAAUCAGGUAGGAAUACCCGCUGAACUUAAGCAUAUCAAUAAGCGGAGGA
rnacentral:misc_RNA from 1 species